ACGCUCGACACCUACGGAGGCAGCAGUGGGGAAUAUUGCACAAUGGAGGAAACUCUGAUGCAGCGACGCCGCGUGAGGGAAGAAGGUCUUCGGAUUGUAAACCUCUGUUGUCAGGGACGAUGAUGACGGUACCUGACGAGGAAGCCACGGCUAACUACGUGCCAGCAGCCGCGGUAAUCUGAGCGGGCUGGCAAGGC
rnacentral:rRNA from 1 species